GGAACUGAAACAUCUAAGUACCUGAAGGAAGAGAAAGAAAUUCGAUUCCGUAAGUAGCGGCGAGCGAACGCGGAUUAGCCCAAACCAAUAAAGUUUUCUUUAUUGGGGUUGCGGACAUAUCAUAACGAAGAGGUAUCGUAAUUGAAGAGGUUUGGAAAGACCAACCACAGAAGGUAAUAGUCCUGUAUGUUAAACGAGAAGACUUUAGAUAUGAUCCAGAGUACCACGGGACACGUGAAACCCUGUGGGAAGCAGGAGGGACCACCCUCCAAGGCUAAAUACUACCUAGUGACCGAUAGCGUAUAGUACCGUGAGGGAAAGGUGAAAAGAACC
rnacentral:rRNA from 1 species